UCUGCGGAUCAGUGGCGAACGGGUGAGUAACACGUGAGUAACCUGCCCUUGACUCUGGGAUAAGCGUUGGAAACGACGUCUAAUACCGGAUACGACCCGUGGAGGCAUCUCCUACGGGUGGAAAGAAUUUCGGUCGAGGAUGGACUCGCGGCCUAUCAGCUUGUUGGUGAGGUAAUGGCUCACCAAGGCGACGACGGGUAGCCGGCCUGAGAGGGUGACCGGCCACACUGGGACUGAGACACGGCCCAGACUCCUACGGGAGGCAGCAGUGGGGAAUAUUGCACAAUGGGCGCAAGCCUGAUGCAGCAACGCCGCGUGAGGGAUGACGGCCUUCGGGUUGUAAACCUCUUUUGGCAGGGAAGAAGCGAAAGUGACGGUACCUGCAGAAAAAGCACCGGCUAACUACGUGCCAGCAGCCGCGGUAAUACGUAGGGUGCAAGCGUUGUCCGGAAUUAUUGGGCGUAAAGAGCUCGUAGGCGGUUUGUCGCGUCUGCUGUGAAAACGCGAGGCUCAACCUCGCGCCUGCAGUGGGUACGGGCAGACUAGAGUGCGGUAGGGGAGAUUGGAAUUCCUGGUGUAGCGGUGGAAUGCGCAGAUAUCAGGAGGAACACCGAUGGCGAAGGCAGAUCUCUGGGCCGUUACUGACGCUGAGGAGCGAAAGCGUGGGGAGCGAACAGGAUUAGAUACCCUGGUAGUCCACGCCGUAAACGUUGGGAACUAGAUGUGGGGUCCAUUCCACGGAUUCCGUGUCGCAGCUAACGCAUUAAGU
rnacentral:rRNA from 1 species